UGGGGAAUUUUGGACAAUGGGCGCAAGCCUGAUCCAGCCAUGCCGCGUGGGUGAAGAAGGCCUUCGGGUUGUAAAGCCCUUUCGGCCGGGAAGAAAACGUGCGGGUGAACAGUCUGCAUGGAUGACGGUACCGGAAGAAGAAGCACCGGCUAACUACGUGCCAGCAGCCGCGGUAAUACGUAGGGUGCGAGCGUUAAUCGGAAUUAUUGGGCGUAAAGCGUGCGCAGGCGGCGCCAUAAGACAGCUGUGAAAUCCCCGGGCUUAACCUGGGAACUGCGGUUGUGACUGUGGUGCUAGAGUACGGCAGAGGGAGGUGGAAUUCCUGGUGUAGCAGUGAAAUGCGUAGAGAUCAGGAGGAACACCGAUGGCGAAGGCAGCCUCCUGGGCUGAUACUGACGCUCAUGCACGAAAGCGUGGGGAGCAAACA
rnacentral:rRNA from 1 species